rnacentral:lncRNA from 1 species
AGGGAGGCAUAGUUAGCUGCUACUAAUACAAUAAUUUCUUGGAUCUAAAUCACUGACUCAAAAUAUUUUUUUUUAUUUUUUGAGAGAUAUGUAGUACACUACCCGCUUCGUUUAUUUCAUUCAGAAAUAAACUUAGCUGUAAACGUGAAUCAACUAGGAUUCGAACGUGGGUCUCGAGUACCAACCACCAAGUCCUUUGUUACUUGCUCUAGGGACGGUUAGUCUGGCUCAAAAUGUUAAAGUUGAUCAUUAAUUAGUAGUACUCAUUUGCUAGUGAC